rnacentral:rRNA from 1 species
CCAACAGGGAUUGCCCUAGUAACGGCGAGUGAAGCGGCAAUAGCUCAAAUUUGAAAGCUGGCCUUCUGGUCCGCAUUGUAAUUUGUAGAGGAUGCUUUUAGGCAGCCGCCGGUCUAAGUUCCUUGGAACAGGACGUCAUAGAGGGUGAGAAUCCCGUAUGUGACCGGCUCUGGCACCUUAUGUAAAGCUCCUUCGACGAGUCGAGUUGUUUGGGAAUGCAGCUCUAAAUGGGAGGUAAAUUUCUUCUAAAGCUAAAUACCGGCGAGAGACCGAUAGCGCACAAGUAGAGUGAUCGAAAGAUGAAAAGCACUUUGGAAAGAGAGUUAAAAAGCACGUGAAAUUGUUGAAAGGGAAGCGCUUGCAAUCAGACUUGGACUUGGCUGUUCAACCGGUCUUCUGACCGGCCCACUCAGUCUUGUCCAGGCCAGCAUCAGUUUCGGCGGCCGGAUAAAGGCCUUGGGAAUGUAGCUGUCCCUUCGGGGACAGUGUUAUAGCCCAGGGUGUAAUACGGCCAGCCGGGACUGAGGUCCGCGCUUCGGCUAGGAUGCUGGCGUAAUGGUUGUAAGCGGCCCGUCUUGAAACACGGACCAAGGAGUCUAACAUCUAUGCGAGUGUUAGGGUGUCAAACCCUUACGCGUAAUGAAAGUGAACGGAGGUGGGAACCCGCAAGGGUGCACCAUCGACCGAUCCUGAUGUCUUCGGAUGGAUUUGAGUAAGAGCAUAGCUGUUGGGACCCGAAAGAUGGUGAACUAUGCCUGAAUAGGGUGAAGCCAGAGGAAACUCUGGUGGAGGCUCGCAGCGGUUCUGACGUGCAAAUCGAUCGUCAAAUUUGGGUAUAGGGGCGAAAGACUAAUCGAACCAU